ensembl:lncRNA
CGUGGUCAGCUUCCCCGAAGGGAGGGCGGGGGAGGGCCUUAUAUGUGUCGCGGAAGCUAGAAUAACAAUGAUCCAGGGUUUUACCAGCCCUGGUUGCACAAUCGAUAUGCUGAUAGAAUUUAGGGAGUCUUGUUUUCCGAUUGGCCUUGUUAAAAUCCCCAUCUACAAUUAAUGCAGCCUCAGGAUAUGUGGUUUCCCGUUUACAUAGAGUCAAAUGAAGUUCUUUCAGGGCCAUCGAUGUGUCUGCUUGGGGGGGGGGGUAUAUGCGGCUGUGACUAUAAUCGAAGAGAAUUCUCUUGGUCGACAUUUGAUUGUGAGGAAUUCUAAGUCAGGUGAACAGAAGGACUUGAGUUCCUGUAUGUUAUUAUGAUCACACCAUGUCUCGUUAAUCAUAAGGCCCCCCCCGCCCUUCUUCUUACCAGAAACAUGAUUGUUUCUGUCGGCGCGAUGCGUGAAGAAACCAGCUUGCUGUACCGACUCCGAUUGCGUGUUUCGAGUGAGCCAUGUUUCCGUGAAGCAAAGAACGUUACAGUCUCUCUGGAAUGCUACCCUUGCUCGGAUUUCAUCUACCUUGUUGUCAAGAGAUUGGACAUCGGCGAGUAGUUUUCUCGGGAGCGGUGAGCGAUGUGCCCGUCUCCGGAGCCUGACCAGAAGACCGCUUCGUCUGCCUCUUUUACGGCGUCAUUGUUUUGGUUCGCCGGCUGGGAUCCGAUCCAUUGUCCUGGGUGGUGGGCAAAACAGAGGAUCCGCUUCGGGAAAGUCAUAUUCCUGGUCGUAAUGAUGGUGAGUUGACGUCGCUCUUAUAUCUAGUAGUUCCUCCCGACUGUAUGUAAUAAAACCUAAGAUUACCUGGGGUACCAAUGUAAGAAAUAACACACAAAAAAAACAAAAUACUGCAUAGUUUCCUAGGAACACGAAGGGAGGCGGCCAUCUGUCGGCGCCGGAAGUAUGUUCGUAUUUUCUACUCUCUUGUGGGAAACCCUCACUGUUGCGCAGAUAUUUAGAAACUAAAUUGAACUUUCCACAGCUAUAUUCAAUGUGCGGGACAAAAUUGAGGCUAUGAUUAAGAAGGUGGAGCCCAUUUCUGUCUGCAUUAACAAGGACAACACACAGGCUUUUCAUCAUUGUAUGAUUUUUAAAUUUUUAAAUGAAGUGUGCAAAUGAACAAGAUUAUGGACAAUGUCAAAUGUGAUAUAGCGAAGCACCUGAGUGAGCUGGGUGUGCAAUUACACAGACACUUUCCCGAAAAUGCCCUGCCUCCAGUCCAGUUACCGAUAUCUGAACAAGAGAGCCUCAUUGAAAUUGUAACAAGCGGUUCUGUGAAAAUGUAAUCAGAAGCCACUGCCAGAUUUCUGGAUAGGGUUGUGCUUAGUUUCUUGCCUUGGCAAAUCGCACUGUUAAGACACUGAUGCCCUUUGCAACCACAUACCUAUGUGAGUGUAUUCUCGGCCCUCACUAGCAUAAAACUAAAUACAGGCACAGACUGUGUGGAAAAUUAUUUAAGACAGACUCUCCAAUACAACCCAACAUUGCAGAGUUAUGUGCAUCCUUUCAAGCACCCUUUUUUCAUUAACCUGUGGCGUGUUAUUCACGAUUUAAUGAAAAAAUAAUUUAGCCAUCUUAAAUAUAAAACCUUAAGAGCAAAAGUAUUAUAUUAUUUGUGCCCUGGUCCAAAAUAGUUCUUUGUCACUUCCCACAUGCUGGGUUGUGACAACAACUCACACUCAUUCUUAUGUGUAAUAAAUGACAAUGACAAAAAACAAAAAACAAUGACAAAAAACAACAUUUGAGAGUGCGCUGACCCUGGUGCAAGAGCUGGAGGUUGAAUUUUAAAAAUGUUUAACCCCUUUUUCGUGGUAUCCAAAUGGUGUCUCAUCGCUGCAACUCCCGUAUGGACUCGGGAGAGGCAAAGGUCGAGAGCAAUGUCACAGGAGAGCAAGCCACAGGAGUCGCUAGUGCACGAUGAGACAAGGAUAUCCCUGCCGGCCAAACCCUCCCUAACCCGGACGACGCUGGGCCAAUUGUGCGUCGCCCCAUGGACUUCCCAGUCGCGGCCGGCUGCGACAGAGCCUGGGCUCGAACCCAGAAUCUCUUAGACCACUGCGCCACCCGGGAGGCCAAUUUUGAAUGGGAAGGGGGUGCUGGUGACGGAGCUGACCCACAUGGAGCAGCACUUCCCGUCCAUCAGGAGGAAGCUGGAACGGGUGUAGGAGAGGAUGAGAGCCCUAGACAUGGCCAAGCAGGUCGGACAGCACCACUCCCUGGAGAGCUACUGUGACCUGGAGCAGCUGUGUAGUUCAUCAACAUGAGCUGAAUAGGAGACUGAAGAUCAACAUUCGGAAUGCCAAGGUUGCGCCCGAGUGGCGCAGCGGUCUAAGGCACUGCAUCUCUAUAGUGACGCGUCUAGCACUGACACCCUGGUUCGAAUCCAGGCUGUAUCACAACUGGCCGUGAUUGGGAGUCCCAUAGUGCGGCACACAAUUGGCCCAGCAUCGUAAAUAAGAAUUUGUUCUUAACUGACUUGCCUAGUUAAUUAUAUAUACAUUUUUUUAUGUAAGUCCUGUAAUUGACAAUUUUUUUAGGGUUGGUCUUUUAAUUAUUAUUUUUUUACCUGGUUUAAGUGACUUGAGUCUGAGCAAGAGAGGCCCAGCAGUAGGCAGGGCCCAACAGGAAUGAUGAGACCUCCCCAUCCAGCAAUAGAGACCCUGUUCCCCCUCCAGGAGCAGGAAAGCUUGUGGAUGACUAGGCCUACCCGGGACCCCUGUCCCAGCCCUGGCCCUCACCCAAUCUCAGAUUCCGGACCCAACGUCAUAAUGGAGGAGAUUAUAGGAGAUUGAACAAGCAGACAAAGGGAAUUUAAAUCCAGCCAUCAACUCACCACAUCCAAAACCACUGCAGCUAGGUUCUCAACUGGAGUUAUCCCAGCACACCUAUCUGAGCUGCAAAGGCCACUGAGAGCCCAGAGGAGCAACAAGAAGAUCCAGGAGGACCUCCCACCUGUCAGUCAGAUCAACACUGUUGAUCUACACAACACACAUUUCACAUGACAACAUACACAAGAUUCUCUCUUGCGCCGUCUCGCCCUCUCAGACCUGCGAACGUUCGCUCCACCUGGACAGCCACAACGUGUGACUUCAUCUCCUAAUAUCUGACAGGAGCCAUGGUCAUAAAGAGAACACAGAGCAGCGUCCGGUGACAGUCACUGUACUGCCCCAGCCGGGCUGGGAAAGACGCCAGCAUCACAGACUUGCGGGUUAGUGAGGGCUUCGCUCUGAAAGAGGAGGCCACGGUGAGUAACAGAACUGUGUGGAUGUAUGUUUUACAGUUGAGUAGAAGAUGUUUCCUAGGACCCAUGUCUAUCUACUGGCUCUAGUUAUCUGCCCUCUCUCUGUCCCUGUGUCCUGUGCUAUGGAGUGUCCCCCAUUCUUAAACUAGAGGAGUUCUCCAACUGACUCCAAGGGCUUUCAAAACAGGACACCUGACUCAGAAAACCAGACCCCCUCCUUUGACCGGUUUGUCUCCCCUCCCAAGCCUGCCCCAUGUACCAACCCCUCCCCAGACAGAAAUGAAAAGUUUAUCAACAUUUGAUAUUUUUUGCUUUGAACUGGACAAAUUUUACAGAAAUUAUAAAUGAGC